GACGGUGGCAAUGAGUCUGACCUUCUGGCCCGAAAGGGUUGGGCAAACUGGUCAAUCACCGUCAUGACAGGGAUCGGGGCUUGGAAUUGUUCCCCGUGAACGAGGAAUUCCUAGUAAGUGCAAGUCAUAAGCUUGCGCUGAUUACGUCCCUGCCCUUUGUACACACCGCCCGUCGCUACUACCGAUUGAAUGGUUUAGUAAGGUCCUUGGAUUGGCGCCAUUGUGGUGGGUUGCCGAAAGGUAGUCUGCCCGACAGGUGCUGAGAAGACGACCAAAC
rnacentral:rRNA from 1 species